UUUCAGUGCUGGAGAAUCUCAAAGCUCCUGCACCACUGCUGAAUUUCAUGUGGUGCCCAAUGGCCAAGAAAUUAUCCAGAGAAGUUCAUCAAGUUGGCUUGCAAUUCCACCUUCUGAAAACUUGGGAAACUACAGCCAGUCAUAAAGUUGUACAGUUCAGAAGCUGACCCGUUGGUCAUCAUGUUUGUGCUGGCCUUUUUUCCCCAUCUCACCUGCUCCAUUUGCCUGAAUUAGGGGCCGUGGACAAUUCUGAUUUGAUGGAGAAUGGACAUGAGAGCACAGAGGAACAUCUGGAGAAAUUUCUGAAACGCCUGUCCGCUGCUGUCGUUACUGUGUGGUCGGGAAUCUUUCGAAGAGUAGGCCUCAAAAUCCCCAGCCUUGCCUGCUUUUGGUGACCGAGAAGGAGGUUGAAUCGUUCGGACAGAGAUGGCGCUCAGUACUCGGUGUCGGAGAGCUGAUCAGAGCUCGAAGUUUUCAGAUGACUCAGAGUCGGACCGUGGUCGGCAUGGCAGGGAGAGUUUUUCUUCCUUCUCCCGUCUGCGUGAGAUGUGGGACAUUUGAGAGACUUUGAACUUUUACUGUGCUCAUGGACUUCUUCAUCAAGUUAUGGUAUUGUUACACUGUUUGUAACUAUAUGUUAUAAUUAUGUGGUUUCGUCAGUUUUUUCCGUCUUGGUUUGUCCUGUGUUUUGUGA